ACGAGGUAGCAAUACCUAGUGGCGGACGGGUGAGUAACACGUAGGUAACCUGCCUUGUAGUGGGGGAUACCCAGCCGAAAGGUUGGCUAAUACCGCAUACCUUGUGGAGUUAUAAUACUCUUCAAGAAAGAUUUAUCGCUAUAAGAGGGGCCUGCGUAUGAUUAGCUAGUUGGUGAGGUAACGGCUCACCAAGGCGACGAUCAUUAGCUGGUCUGAGAGGACGAUCAGCCACACUGGAACUGAGACACGGUCCAGACUCCUACGGGAGGCAGCAGUGGGGAAUUUUCCGCAAUGGGCGAAAGCCUGACGGAGCAACGCCGCGUGGGUGAUGAAGUUUUUCGGAACGUAAAACCCUUCAGCAGGGACGAAGCGAGUGACGGUACCUGCAGAAGAAGCAUCGGCUAACUACGUGCCAGCAGCCGCGGUAAUACGUAGGAUGCGAGCGUUG
rnacentral:rRNA from 1 species